GGUAAAUUAAAAGACGAUGUAUAUGCACAACUUUGUAUUAUAACGAUAAUCAUAAGCACCUUAUAAUAUGUCAUCUGUUACAUUAUUUGUUUUCAACAGUUACAUUAUCGUUAUAAAUAUUUAUACAAAAUUUAUCAAUUUGUUGAACAGCUUUGCAAAUAAUUCGCUAAAUGUGAGGUUCUGUUCAUUCACGCUUCACGCUCAUUGAAAUUUACAUUUAUUUUAGUAAGUAACUGUGAGGAACACGUGGCUUGCCAGUAUCAAAAUUAUAUCUUCGAGUUUCAAACUAGUUUUGGGCACUAGUUUCAGAACAAUCCUUUUUGGAUAUUGGCUACCACAUAAAGUAGUCGCCAGCUUCUUCUAUGUGAAUAGUGUUUCUUAAUUUUUGUACCGAAAGCUGAUAUAUUUUGAAAUAAAAUCUUUUGCGACUGGCAGCUUUUAAUCUUAAAUUUUAUUGUUAAUUCGAGCAUUAGAAAGUCAGUCCCUCACAGUUACUUGCUCUUAUCUGAACGAUUACUAGAGAGGUACUUGAUUAAUUUUAUAGGGAUACUUAGGUUCUAUAAAUAAAACAUUUGAUUAACAUUGCCAUACUGCAAAAUAAUAUUGUAAGCCUUUAAUAUUGCAAUUUUUACUCUCCCCAAUUGGGAAUUUUUACUCCCUACAAAAUUAAUCAUAAGUACCGAACACUUAUUUUACUUUAACUCCAGUACAAAAUAUUAUUAAACCUCUACAGAUGAAAACAUAGUUUUUACACAGUCGGAGAUUUACAGCUAUAGACCAAGUAGUGGCGUAUGAUAAUGUAUAAAUAAAAAUAAAUUAUUUUUAAAUACUUAGGUGCUUCCAUACCGGCAUGUUAGUAAGCCGCUCGCUCCCUGAAAUCUUUCGAUUAGAUUUCCAACUUUUUGAAGUUUACCAAUAACACAAAUAAACUCUAUUGUAUUAUUGAUAAGGUUCAAAGUACCUCGAAAAUGCAAUGCAAAUUCAUUUGGCACGCUACCCUCUAAUAAACAAGUAAAUUAAAUGUAACAUGAAAUGCAAACCUUGGGUGCCCUUUAUUAAAUAAUGCUCUAUUUUAAAUAAUUUCAAAAGUAUGCUUUACAAAUUACAACUAAACUCGGAAUGUUUUUAGGCAGGGUGAUACUGCGAACAGUUUUUAUUCAUAAGAUGAAUGGCAAAAUAUAAAGAACCGACCCUGCCUUUACAUUUCCCUUAUAAAAUAAAAGGAGAUAUGCAAUGCUUGACAUAAAGACCGAUAUUAUUAAAAUUAGGCUAGAUGUUACGUUCAUAAUUAUAAAGUACGUAUAAAAAUAUAAAGUAAACAAUACAUGACUUUACUUUUUAUGAAAAUAGCAUAUUUUGUGAUUAGUGGAUUAAUUAAUCUAUUAUCCUUAAGUUAGUCGCAUGAAAGGAAUGAAUGAAAUAAACUAAUCACAUUUAUUCUGAUUAAUACACAAAUCUAAUAAUUUUAUUCGAUUUAACGAUCUAAAUAUACAAAAACAAGCGAUGGAAUUCAUGUCAAACAGACAUAUCGUUAAAGAUUGCAUAUAUUUUUGGUUUUAAUAAUAAAUUAUACUAAUUUUAUGGCUGUUGUAUAAACAUGAUCGCUACUACAACUAGUUAUACAUCGGUGUCGGCUGUGGGCCGGGUCGCACCUGUCGGCAUUGGUCCAGGUUGGCCAUACGGGAACAACGAAGCGUUUCAAUUUCUAUUACAAAAUUGCGAAUUUCAACCAAAGGAUUUUGAAAUGCAUACAAAAUGAAAAACACCCUGUAUACAGUGAAUUUUCUACUAAUUUGCUCUGCAAUCUGCUUUGAACGAUUGAAAUCCUUAUUCAUUGUUCAUGUGCCUUUGACAAUAUUACCGAUAGAUGGAACCCGACUCGAAACGAUAACGUGACGCAGGUGGAUCUCCAGUGGAACGGUGCAUUAACCUAUUACUUACACGAGAUGUAACGCAAUGAAAAGGCGACCAUAUAAACGCUAAUGUAGAAUCGAAAAUGUAUCGUAGCUAUGGUUCAUUUGAACAAUUCAGUCUCUAUGACAGUGACGUCAGACCAUUAGGUAUAAUAUGCCUCAGAAAAGAGUUUGUAUAAAGUGUAUAAACAGUUAUAGGGCAGAUUGUUUCAAAUACCUACGUCUAAUUUUCAAAUAGUGUUGUUUGACGUUUCGAUGCUACAUCUGAGUUAUGAACGCAUCGCCCUAAAAAGCGGGCGUAUAGUGGAUAGUGGUGUAGUCAACAGCACGUCAACCUACACCAAAAUAUCAAAUCUCCUCAAUUGAAAUUUAUAGGUAAUAAAGUUUAAAAUGCAUUGUGGGGAUAAGUCAUUUUGCGAUAGGUUCAUGUGCUGUGGACUGUACAUCGAGACAAGUAUUGACCAGCAAUAGUCCUUUACGCACCACCCACAGCUACUAUAAUAAGAUAAUCACCGAAUAAUUAAAUACAAAGUUCACAUUCAACAAGCGAUAUUAUGCCUUCGAUAUUUUCACACUUGUUUAUUGAACCUGUCAAAAAUAUUCAAAGGUACACUAUCAUUGAAAACAAUUAAGAACUUACGUUAGCAGGAUAUACAGAUGAGACGGAUGAUAGUUCUAUUUAGUACUUCAUUACGCAACAUCGCUUCACUGGCGACCGAUCAGAUGCGUGUGCGCAAAUUGGACGCCUUUCGAUGCCCAAUUCUGCUAUUAAAAACGUGCUUAGAAUAGCGCCUAAACCCCGUGUGCGAGCGCGAUAGCAACAUAAUUACGCGCGAGCGAUAAGGAUGGGUAGCUUGGGGUCAUUGGACAAAAUUCUACGUGCUCACGGACCAGACUUAAGCUGUAAGAACAACGUCAUCAAUCUCUCUAUUCUAACCCGAUUUAUAUAGCUCUGAUUGGUCGCAAAUAACGCGAACAUUGCAAGCAUUAGAGCUUCAAAUCCAACGAGUUGCAAGUUGCAAGCCCCGUCGGAAUCGCGGCCCCAACCAACAGCAGUCGACGUCGAGUGAAAUAUAAAACAUCAACAAAACUACCAAUUUAAUUAUAUGUGUACUAACUAAUAUAUUAAAUAUAGACCACAAUGCGUCUUCACGUGUCACUCGUAGAGCGUCCUCUCGCUCGCACACAUGUACUCACUGACCCCCGUUGCACGCGAGUGUUAAGUGGGUAGACGCACAAUUGGCUGCAAUGUAACAUUUCAUUAACUAACAUCCUAAACACGUAAACGCUUUACU